GUACAUCUAGUUGAACUAAUAGUUCUGAUGAAGCACCAAAAGUCCUAGUUUUCCAUAAACAAUAAACAUGCAAGAAAACAUUGACCAGCAUCCUGCAAAUAAUAAAUGAAAAUACUUUCAGUAGCAUACUACAACAAAUAAUAAAAAGCAAUUUCUAAUCCAGUUUAUUAGCCAUGAACUAUUGGCAUUUAUAUAGUACUGCAGACUGGAAACUUCGCCAAGUAAUUAGUUGGCAUAUUGGUUUCUCUAUAAUAGCGUUCAAUCUUACACCAAAAACACCAAGAUAGGUACGUUUUACACACAACUGUUGAAAUGAAGCUUGGAAUUUGACCAAAACCAAAAUCCAUGGCAGAACUAAGCUAGGUCGGAAGUCAGAAAUAUGUCGAGUAGCAGAUUCCAUGGAGAACUAUUAAGAUAGGUUAAAACUAUGCUUCCAGUACAAAAUCCAUGCAUAGGAGCAGCAUAUUAUAAUAGAAAUGUUAAUUGCUGUAACUCUAUAUGUAAUACAACUGAUCCGACAAGAUACACGUCUGAUUCUUAUUGCAUCCACUAAACAUGUAGCAAGCAAGAGACUGUACUACAAGAACAGCCAAAUGCAAAUUCCCGACUUAAUUGGAUAAUAGAGCAUAUAAAUGAUGUCUAGGAAGACAUGUAAAAAGAAAAGAAAAAAGUGACACAAUUCAAGUAAGAUAAAACUUCUAAAAAUAUAUCUCAAGUAUUUUAAACAUCAAUUAUCUUCCAUAUGUGAUGUGUAAAAUGUAAAUAGAUCCCUCAGCCAGUGUCAUAAUCUAUGUAAUGAUGUAAAUGAGGGCAUGCUCAUAGAAAAUAACAUAUAUAAAAUCAAAUAGAAUUUCAUAACAAAAAUAAAUUUCGUAAAAUAAAAAAAUAAACUUUAUUUUCGAUAAGCGAUCCAAUAAAUUUACAUAGAUGUGAUAUGAUCCCCAGGCUUUAUCACAGUCAUCACGCUCAUAGAAAAUUAACUAAGAUACAAAUAAAGAUCUUAAAAGUAGAAUAUAUAAAUGAUUUAUUUUCAAUAAACAAGUCAUCACAUACAUUUUACAUAGAUGUGAAAAUGUGAAAUAAUCCCUCGGGCUUUAUCAAUAAGUGUCAUCAUCUAUGCAUGAUGCAUUGAUGUGCAUGAGGAAUACUCAUCCAAUAAACUAAAAUAUAUAAUCAAAUAAAAUUAUAAAAAAAAACGGAAAACAAAAAACUUAACUUUAUUUUCAAUAAAAAUACAUUAUACAUAGAAGUGAAAUGAUCCCCCAAGGCUUUAGCAAUUCAGAGCUCACGAUCUAUCUAGAAUCGUAUUAGAACAUGCUUAGAGAAAAUAAGUAAAAUAUAAAAUCAAUUCACAAUUAGGCUCAGAAAAUACAAAAAACAAGUUAUUUUUCAAUAAAACAAUCGCCAUACACAAUUACGUAGAUGUGAAAUGAUGCACAGGCAUAAAUGCAUAAUAUGAGUUUGCGUCAUCAUCUACAUAUGAAGUGUAUGGCAACAUGAUCAAAGACAAUAAGUCACAGAAGAUCAAACAAAGCGUCAUCAAGUAUUUAUAAAGGAAAACUUAUUUUCCAAAUAAAGGAUUUACAUAGAUGUGACAUGAUCCCUCUAGCUAAAAUUAAGAGUCAACUUCUAUGUACUACCUUUAUGAGGCAUGUAAAGGGGAAAAAUCAAUGUAAAAAUAUUCCAUGUGAAUGCAUAAGAAAGUAACGUGUUUUAAAGAAAACAUCAAGCAUAACCAUUGGGAUGUGAGAUGAUCCUAUAAGGUGAAGAAGAAAUAACUUUCAAUUUGAAGAAAACAUCAAGCAUAGCCAUUGGGAUGUGAGAUGAAUGAUGAUCCUACAAGGUGAAGAAGAAAUAACUUUUCAAUUUACAUGCCAAGAUAUUUGUUUUACCAUAUUCAAAGUACCGACCAAAUAUAUUCUCACAAUUGAGACAAGAGAAGAAAGAACACAUUAAUAUUUUGGAACAGAUUCCCUUUUAUUAUAGUCUGUGGAAGUGUGGAACCAUUGUACUAAUGAAUUAAACAUUCCAUGUACCUCUGCUCACGAUAGUCUAUCACUUGUGUAUACAGUAUUGGUAUUCCACGUACCUUUGGGCAACGAGUGGGAGAUAUGGGAGAUAGAUAUAUGCAAUAAGACACACAAGUACAUUGAAUUCCAUCUAAUAUAUGCAUCAGUCAAGUUUAUCAGAUAACAUGAAAUCCCAAAACUUUUAGUUUAUAAAUAUACAGUAUAUAAGAAAGCUCUAACAACACAAAUCCGCAGCAUGAUUUAUCAAUUGAGAGCAAACGUAAACAAAAUCAAACAAAGACUUUAACUAGAGUUUGUGUUCAAUUUAUCAAGACAAACGACAACUUCAAUUCCAAAUUUACCAAAACAGUUUCAAUUGUGAUGAAGAAACAACACAGAAAUAGAAAUGUCAUUGGUUUCAAUCAUGAACAAGUUCUAGUAAGAAUGAGAAGCGAAGAUAUGCAAAACUUCUAAAUUAACCGAUUCAAUUCAAAGAGAAACAAUUUUAAAACUUUUCAAAUCAACAAAUCGAUUUCGCACAAAAAUCAACAAUAUUUCUAAAUUGUGAAGAAGAACUAACUUACAUAAAUCACGAACAACCCAUCGCCUGAAGUCCUGAACCAAUUCGCAAUCGCAGAGAGAGAAGUCUGACUCGUUUCUAUCUUCUCUGUAAUUCUGUUGAAGAGACAGAA
rnacentral:lncRNA from 1 species